GACGAACCGUACGAACGUUAUUCGGAAUCACUGGGCUUAAAGGGUGCGUAGGCGGCGCGACAAGUUGGGUGUGAAAUCCCUCGGCUCAACCGAGGAACUGCGCCCAAAACUGUCGUGCUCGAGGGAGACAGAGGUGAGCGGAACUUAGGGUGGAGCGGUGAAAUGCGUUGAUAUCCUAAGGAACACCGGUGGCGAAAGCGGCUCACUGGGUCUCUUCUGACGCUGAGGCACGAAAGCUAGGGUAGCGAGCGGG
rnacentral:rRNA from 1 species